rnacentral:rRNA from 1 species
AUUGAACGCUGGCGGCAUGCUUUACACAUGCAAGUCGAACGGCAGCGCGGGCUUCGGCCUGGCUGCGAGUGGCGAACGGGUGAGUAAUGCAUCGGAACGUGCCCAGUAGUGGGGGAUAGCCCGGCGAAAGCCGGAUUAAUACCGCAUACGACCUGAGGGUGAAAGCGGGGGACCGAAAGGCCUCGCGCUAUUGGAGCGGCCGAUGUCGGAUUAGCUAGUUGGUGGGGUAAAGGCUUACCAAGGCGACGAUCCGUAGCUGGUCUGAGAGGACGACCAGCCACACUGGGACUGAGACACGGCCCAGACUCCUACGGGAGGCAGCAGUGGGGAAUUUUGGACAAUGGGGGCAAACCUGAUCCAGCCAUGCCGCGUGCGGGAAGAAGGCCUUCGGGUUGUAAACCGCUUUUGUUCGGGAAGAAAUCCUCUGGGCUAAUACCCCGGGGGGAUGACGGUACCGGAAGAAUAAGCACCGGCUAACUACGUG